AACAUAAGACAAAAACCAAAAAAAAAAAAUCCUUUUACGAAUGAGUGAGAUCAUCCACACAAAUUUUGAUGGAAUUCAAAAGAAGACUAAUGUUAAU
rnacentral:sRNA from 1 species